rnacentral:rRNA from 1 species
GACGAACGCUGGCUGCGUGCUUAACACAUGCAAGUCGAACGGAAAGGCCCUGCUUUUGUGGGGUGCUCGAGUGGCGAACGGGUGAGUAACACGUGAGUAACCUGCCCUUUACUUUGGGAUAACUUCAGGAAACUGGGGCUAAUACCGGAUAUGAGCUCCUGCUGCAUGUUGGGGUUUGUAAAGUUUCGGCGGUUGGGGAUGGACUCGCGGCUUAUCAGCUUGUUGGUGGGGUAGUGGCUUACCAAGGCUUUGACGGGUAGCCGGCCUGAGAGGGUGACCGGCCACAUUGGGACUGAGAUACGGCCCAGACUCCUACGGGAGGCAGCAGUGGGGAAUAUUGCACAAUGGGCGGAAGCCUGAUGCAGCAACGCCGCGUGCGGGAUGACGGCCUUCGGGUUGUAAACCGCUUUCGCCUGUGACGAAGCGUGAGUGACGGUAAUGGGUAAAGAAGCACCGGCUAACUACGUG